GACAGAGGGUGCAAACGUUGCUCGGAAUCACUGGGCGUAAAGGGCGUGUAGGCGGGAAGGAAAGUCAGAUGUGAAAUCCCCAGGCUCAACCUGGGAACUGCAUUUGAAACUCCCUUUCUUGAGUACCGGAGAGGAAAGUGGAAUUCCUGGUGUAGAGGUGAAAAUUCGUAGACUAUCAGGAGGAACACCAGUGGCGAAAGGCGGCUUCUGGACG
rnacentral:rRNA from 1 species